rnacentral:misc_RNA from 1 species
ACUCAGACUGUUAAUGAAGCAUUAGAAGUGGUCGAAGAAACUGAAGCUGCUAAAAUUGAAAGCACUCCAACUGUUAUUGAAGCAUCAAAAGAGGUUGAAGAAACUGAAACUGCUAAGGCUGAGAGCACUCAAACAGUUAAUGAAGCAUUAGAAGAUGUCGAAGAAACUGAAGUGAUCGAUGAGGUAGGUGCAGGUGUGCCCGACAAGCAGGAAGAAGUGUUCACCACUGGCGAUAACUGAGUCCAGUUAUUUUCAGGAGUAUUAUAGUGUUAUUGAUGUAGAGUUUAGGGGAUGGAUUGUAAGGUAAACUGUGACAACUUGUCUACCAAUUGUGAUGUGUAUGUACUAUUUUAGUACUCUAGCUCUGUUCUCACAUAAUUGGGUAUUUUUCAGUUUAUG